CCUACGGGCGGCAGCAGUGGGGAAUAUUGCACAAUGGGGGAAACCCUGAUGCAGCGACGCCGCGUGAGUGAAGAAGGAUCUCGGUAUGUAAAGCUCUAUCAGCAGGGAAGAAAAUGACGGUAUCUGACUAAGAAGCCCCGCCUAACUCCGUGCCAGCAGCCGCGGUAAUACGUAGGGGGCAAGCGCUAUCCGGAUUUACUGGGUGUAAAGGGAGCGUAGACGGCGCUGCAAGUCCGGAGUGAAAGACCCUGGCUUAACCAUGGUACUGCUCUGGAAACUGUGGAGCUUGAGUGUGGGAGGGGCAGGCGGAAUUCCUAGUGUAGCGGUGAAAUGCGUAGAUAUUAGGAGGAACACCGGCGGCGAAGGCGGCCUGCUGGACCGUAACUGACGUUGAGGCUCGAAAGCGUGGGGAGCAAACAGGAUUAGAUACCCGUGUAGUC
rnacentral:rRNA from 1 species